AUUUGCCGUAAUGGAAAGGCAAGGAAAACUUGAUAGAAUGCAUGCAUAUGGUUUGAAGCAGAGGCAGUUGUUCCAUCUUGUUCGAAAAAAGAUGGAUGGUUAUUUUGGUCAACUUGUGUUCAUGCAA